rnacentral:rRNA from 1 species
CCUACGGGAGGCAGCAGUGAGGAAUAUUGGUCAAUGGACGAGAGUCUGAACCAGCCAAGUAGCGUGAAGGAUGACUGCCCUAUGGGUUGUAAACUUCUUUUAUAUGGGAAUAAAAUGUUCCACGUGUGGGAUUUUGUAUGUACCAUAUGAAUAAGGAUCGGCUAAUUCCGUGCCAGCAGCCGCGGUAAUACGGAGGAUCCGAGCGUUAUCCGGAUUUAUUGGGUUUAAAGGGAGCGUAGGUGGAUUGUUAAGUUGGUUGUGAAAGUUUGCGGCGCAACCGUAAAAUUGCAGUUGAAACUGGCAGUCUUGAGUACAGUAGAGGUGGGCGGAAUUCGUGGUGUAGCGGUGAAAUGCUUAGAUAUCACGAAGAACUCCGAUUGCGAAGGCAGUUCACUGGACUGCAACUGACACUGAGGCUCGAAAGUGUGGGUAUCAAACAGGAUUAGAUACCCGGGUAGUC